UACGGAGGGUGCGAGCGUUUGUCCGGAAUCACUGGGCGUAAAGGGCGCGUAGGCGGCCUGAUAAGUAGGGGGUGAAAUCCUGCGGCUUAACCGCAGGGCUGCCUUCUAAACUGUCAGGCUAGAGCACAGUAGAGGCAGGUGGAAUUCCUGGUGUAGCGGUGGAAUGCGCAGAUAUCAGGAGGAACACCGGUGGCGAAGGCGGUGGUCUGGGCCGGCACUGACGGCUGAGGAGCGAAAGCGUGGGUAGCAAACAGG
rnacentral:rRNA from 1 species